rnacentral:lncRNA from 1 species
AGCCGCAGACCACAGGUGCUUGCACUUGGUUUCCACUUUUCCCUCAGUUGUAGACGUCCUCAUUUGCAAGGCCCUGGAUCAACGUUCUGCCUCGCUGAGACCAUUAAGGAAAAGUAGGCACCUGGACAGUGAGAAACAGCGUCCUUCCAACACGAGAACCUCGGGUCAUCUCCUUUAUGUUGCUUUGAUCUUCUGCAAGGUUCCACAGGGAUUUUCCUUUAGAGCUCAGAAUCCAGUGAUCAGUGAUCCUUGGGAAGGAUGCCGAGACAAGCAGCAGCACCGUGAUGCUUCAUCAGCACAGAGUACAGCAAAAGCAUUGCCUGGACAUGGCCGCUUUGAAAGCCUGACAAGAAGCUAG